rfam:Triticum aestivum genome assembly, contig: Triticum_aestivum_CS42_TGACv1_scaffold_556680_7AL
GACAUACUCCCUCUGUCCGUAAAUACUUGUCCUAAAAAUGGUUGUAUCUAGACUUAUAGAUAUGUCCAUUUUAUCCAUUUUUAGGACAAGUAUUUCCGGACGGAGGGAGUACAAG